CCUGAUGCAGCGACGCCGCGUGAGGGAUGACGGCCUUCGGGUUGUAAACCUCUUUCAGCAGGGACGAAGCGAAAGUGACGGUACCUGCAGAAGAAGCACCGGCCAACUACGUGCCAGCAGCCGCGGUAAUACGUAGGGUGCGAGCGUUGUCCGGAAUUACUGGGCGUAAAGAGCUCGUAGGCGGUUUGUCACGUCGUCUGUGAAAACCAGCAGCUCAACUGCUGGCGUGCAGGCGAUACGGGCAGACUUGAGUACUGCAGGGGAGACUGGAAUUCCUGGUGUAGCGGUGAAAUGCGCAGAUAUCAGGAGGAACACCGGUGGCGAAGGCGGGUCUCUGGGCAGUAACUGACGCUGAGGAGCGAAAGCGUGGGUAGCGAACAGGAUUAGAUACCCUGGUAGUCCACGCCGUAAACGGUGGGUACUAGAUGUGGGUCCCUUCCACGGGAUCCGUGUCGUAGCUAACGCAUUAAGUACCCCGCCUGGGGAGUACGGCCGCAAGGCUAAAACUCAAAGGAAUUGACGGGGGCCCGCACAAGCGGCGGAGCAUGUGGAUUAAUUCGAUGCAACGCGAAGAACCUUACCUGGGUUUGACAUAUACCGGAAACGCCUAGAGAUAGGUGCCCCCUUGUGGUCG
rnacentral:rRNA from 1 species